UACGUAGGGGGCAAGCGUUGUCCGGAAUCAUUGGGCGUAAAGCGCGCGUAGGCGGCCCGGUAAGUCCGUUGUGAAAGUCAAAGGCUCAACCUUUGAACGCCGAUGGAUACUGCCGGGCUAGAGUCCGGAAGAGGCGAGUGGAAUUCCUGGUGUAGCGGUGAAAUGCGCAGAUAUCAGGAGGAACACCAAUGGCGAAGGCAGCUCUCUGGGACGGUACUGACGCUGAGACGCGAAAGCGUGGGGAGCGAACAGG
rnacentral:rRNA from 1 species